rnacentral:rRNA from 1 species
GUCUAUAGUCAUGCCACCUUGAACGUGCCCGAUCUCGUCUGAUCUUGGAAGCUAAGCAGGGUCAGGCCUGGUUAGUACAUGGAUGGGAGACCACCUAGAAAUACCAGGUGCUGUAGGUG